rnacentral:rRNA from 1 species
GAUGAACGCUAGCGGGAGGCCUAACACAUGCAAGUCGAACGGGAUUGGGAGCUUGCUCCCAUGAGAGUGGCGCACGGGUGAGUAACGCGUAUGCAACCUGCCUUUAACAGAGGGAUAGCCCAUAGAAAUGUGGAUUAAUACCUCAUAGUUCUUUUGUUCCGCAUGGGACAGAAGAUAAAGCUCCGGCGGUUAAAGAUGGGCAUGCGUGACAUUAGUUAGUUGGUGAGGUAACGGCUCACCAAGACUACGAUGUCUAGGGGUUCUGAGAGGAUGAUCCCCCACACUGGUACUGAGACACGGACCAGACUCCUACGGGAGGCAGCAGUGAGGAAUAUUGGUCAAUGGGCGCAAGCCUGAACCAGCCAUCCCGCGUGCAGGAUGACGGCCCUAUGGGUUGUAAACUGCUUUUAUACACCAAGAAACUUUCGGACGUGUCCGGAACUGACGGUAGUGUAUGAAUAAGCAUCGGCUAACUCCGUGCCAGCAGCCGCGGUAAUACGGAGGAUGCGAGCGUUAUCCGGAUUCAUUGGGUUUAAAGGGUGCGUAGGCGGCUUUUUAAGUCAGUGGUGAAAUCCUGCCGCUUAACGGUAGAAUUGCCAUUGAUACUGAAGAGCUUGAGUACAAUUGAGGUAAGCGGAAUGUGUAGUGUAGCGGUGAAAUGCUUAGAUAUUACACAGAACACCGAUUGCGAAGGCAGCUUACUAAACUGUCACUGACGCUGAUGCACGAAAGCGUGGGGAGCGAACAGGAUUAGAUACCCUGGUAGUCCACGCCGUAAACGAUGAUCACUCGCUGUAUGCGAUACACAGUAUGCGGCCAAGCGAAAGCAUUAAGUGAUCCACCUGGGGAGUACGAUCGCAAGGUUGAAACUCAAGGAAUU